UACGUAGGUGGCAAGCGUUGUCCGGAAUUAUUGGGCGUAAAGCGUGCGCAGGCGGUUUUGUAAGUCAGAUGUGAAAUCCCCGGGCUUAACCUGGGAACUGCGUUUGAAACUACAAGGCUAGAGUGUGGCAGAGGGGGGUGGAAUUCCACGUGUAGCAGUGAAAUGCGUAGAGAUGUGGAGGAACACCGAUGGCGAAGGCAGCCCCCUGGGUUAACACUGACGCUCAGGCACGAAAGCGUGGGGAGCAAACAGG
rnacentral:rRNA from 1 species